GGACGCUCUACCGGGGUGGGGGUUCCCAGAAAGGAGGGGGAGAGGAGCCCGAGUAGGGGAAUCCUGCCCUCUCAAGUAAAAAGCUGGAUCCCCGGCAGCAGGCUGCAGCCCGUCCUCGCUAAGGAAACGACGAGGCAGACAGAGGGCCUUUUGCGCGGAAAGGCAGAAGGCAGACACUUUCCGAGGUCCGGACGCAAGCCGAUCCCCCAUCCCCCGAGGGAGGCGAAGGGUGCCCCAUGGGUGGCUGAGGGGACGCCCGGCCCGCGAGGGACAACCCGAGGAGGAGCAGUUUCAUCUGAUUAACACCUGAGUCUCGUCCAGUGUGACAUUCUUCAGAAUUCAUCCUGGAAUCAAUAUUAUGCCAAAGAAAAUUUUCUGAAAGUCUUGCUGUGUCAGCCAGGCUGGAAUGCAGUGGCACCAUCUCAGUUCACUGCAACUUCUGUCUCCUGGGCUCAAGUAAUUCUCCUGCCUCAGCCUCCCGAGUAGCUGGGAUUACAGCUACACAGAUCAUACCACUGCAACUCAGCCAACCAGCACAUCGGACAGUGGGAGGAGGAAUUCUUGGCUAAGAGUACUGAGAUUAUUUACCCCUCAAAACAACCCCCAAGGUGUCUACAACCAGUUCCACAAGUCUUGUACCAAUCCAUCCCUCCUCACUCAGGGUUUUUGCAUGUCUGACACCCAUGGCUCCACCUGGACUCAUCUGGAUCUGCCAACCCCAUUCCCGUGGCCCCACCCAGAAGUGAUUCAGCUUACAGGAGGACAGCUUCAGCUUCCCAUGAUUUUGUCUAUGCCCCAACCAAUCAAUAGCAAGCAUAGCCACAGCCACCCCUUUCCCAAACUGCCUUUGAGAAACCCCUAACCUAUGAACUUUGGACGAGAAUGAUUUGAGAAUUAACUCCAUCUCCCACCUGGCGUGGCUGGCCUUGUGUCUAUUAAACUCUUUCUCUACUAUAA
rnacentral:lncRNA from 1 species